rnacentral:rRNA from 1 species
UACGUAGGGGGCUAGCGUUGUCCGGAAUCAUUGGGCGUAAAGCGCGUGUAGGCGGUUCGGUAAGUCCGCUGUGAAAGUCGGGGGCUCAACCCUCGAAAGCCGGUGGAUACUGUCGGACUAGAGUGCGGAAGAGGCGAGUGGAAUUCCUGGUGUAGCGGUGAAAUGCGCAGAUAUCAGGAGGAACACCAAUUGCGAAGGCAGCUCGCUGGGACGUUACUGACGCUGAGGCGCGAAAGCUAGGGGAGCAAACAAG